CCGUGCCUCUCAGUGACAGAAACGGGAAGCCAACCGCUUCCUGAGGCUGCUGUCCACAAACUCCUGUUUAUCUGAACGCACAUCCUCCCAGGCCCGAGGUGACGCAUUGAGCUCUCCCUCCGACAGGAGGUGCCUCCCUGGUCACACAGCUCGGUGGAGCCAGGUGAACGCUGCACAUGCGAGUGUAUCUACGUGUGCGCUGGUUGCACACCCAGCCUUUCCGCCAUGUCUCUGCAUCUCUCUGCGGGAGCAUGGCCAUCCUGGGACAUUCCCCAUGAUCCUCCGCCCACAGGCCCUCACCUCGCUUCAGUGUCCCGUCUCUGCAGAAGAAUCGGCAAGCAGGAAGCUGAAGUGCUGAACUGUUACACCAGGACCUUCCCUGACUUCCUCCUUCUGGACGGAGCAGAUGGUGAACCUCAGCUCUGAGCGGCCGUGGGGCCCACUGGAGAGACGUGCUCACUAUGGGAGGCCCAUGGGCCCACCAAGACCAAGACCCUCUCACCUGCGGAGGGGCCGAGGUUCUGCUCCCCAGCCUCCAGCCUCCCCUGCACCCUCAGGACCCUCUCCUUGGCCCCUCCAGGAGCCAGCGCAGCCCCUGGGAUGGGAGUUUGUGCCGUUCUGUGCCAAAGGUGCUAACGUUUAAAAUCCUGCAUUUCCAGCCACUUUGUCAACUGUGAGAAUAACUGUAUGCUGCUGUACCGGGGCGUGGUGCCCAGGCCUGCCCUCAACCUGGGGGGCACUGCAGAGGCCCCGCUCAGGGUGCCCAAAGAGGACUGGCUCGAACCACAUGUCCUGACUUCGGUCCCUCAGCCUUGAACUGGGCCAACGGCAGCUCCUUCACGCACCUGGGUGCAGGGUGCGUGGGCAGGACCCACACCCCCUGGGACAGCUGCCCCCCAACCUGGGCGGUGCUGCCCGCAGCUGGCCCUGCCACUCCCCCACACAAGGGAGAAGAGAAAGGUCAGCAGGAGGGUCCAGACCAGGCUUAGUGGAAGAUCCCUUUUUCUGAUAAAUCCCCUGGUGACUUGCA